rnacentral:rRNA from 1 species
GACGAGGGACCCUAGCGUUGUUCGGAAUCAUUGGGCGUAAAGCGGGUGUAGGUGGCUUUGUAAGUCAGGUGUGAAAGCCCAGGGCUCAACCCUGGAAGUGCAUUUGAUACUGCGAAGCUUGAGUGCCGGAGAGGUUACUGGAAUACCUGGUGUAGUGGUGAAAUACGUAGAUAUCAGGUGGAACACCGGAGGCGAAGGCGGGUAACUGGCCGGACACUGACACUCAGACCCGAAAGCGUGGGGAUCAAACAGG